GAUGAACGCUGGCGGCGUGCCUAAUACAUGCAAGUCGAGCGAAGCGGGGACGGGUGAGUAACACGUGGAUAACCUCCUAUAAGACUGGGAUAACUUCGGGAAACCGGAGCUAAACCGGAUAUUUAUGAAUGGAUCCCCGCGUCAUUAGCUAGUUGGUAGGGUAAUGGCUUACAAAGGCAACGAUACAUAGCCGACCUGAGGGGGGGAGCGGCCACACUGGAAGUGGUACACGGUCCGGACUCUUACGGGAGGAAGCAGAUGGGAAUCUUCGGCAAUGGGGGAAAGCCUGACGAGGCAACGCCGCGUGAGUAAUAAGGUUGUUCGGAUCGUAAAACUCUGUUAUUAAGGAAGCGGUACCUAAUCAGAAAGCCACGGCUAACUACGUGCCAGCCGCCGCGGUAAUAC
rnacentral:rRNA from 1 species